UACGGAAGGCAGCAGUGGGGAAUAUUGCACAAUGGGCGCAAGCCUGAUGCAGCCAUGCCGCGUGUAUGAAGAAGGCCUUCGGGUUGUAAAGUACUUUUCAGUCGUGAGGAAGGUGUUAAGGUUAAUAACCUUAGCAAUUGACGUUAGCGACAGAAGAAGCACCGGCUAACUCCGUGCCAGCAGCCGCGGUAAUACGGAGGGUGCGAGCGUUAAUCGGAAUUACUGGGCGUAAAGGGCACGCAGGCGGUUAAUUAAGUUGGAUGUGAAAUCCCCGGGCUUAACCUGGGAAUGGCAUUCAAGACUGGUUAGCUAGAGUCUUGUAGAGGGGGUAGAAUUCCAUGUGUAGCGGUGAAAUGCGUAGAGAUGUGGAGGAAUACCGGUGGCGAAGGCGGCCCCUGGACAAAGGCUGACGCUCAUGUGCGAAAGCGUGGGGAGCGAAA
rnacentral:rRNA from 1 species